UGUGGGUCAAAAUCUCUCCCAGUUAGGGUACACGAGGCGACAAUUGCAAAUGGGGGCCAACUGCCAGAGUUGCCAUGUGUUUACAAAUCUACACACUUUAAUGAUGUCACAAAGCAGUGGAUUUCUCCGGAGUGCGAAGAGAAUUAUGAUAAUAUGAUAAAGAUCCAAGCUGAACAUUGCUCCCGACCUGGUGUGGUUCCAAUUACUCCGGAGGAGCUAUCUGUGA